UACGAGGGGGGCAAGCGUUGUUCGGAAUUAUUGGGCGUAAAGGGCGCGUAGGCGGUGUGGUAAGUCACCUGUGAAAACUCUGGGCUCAACUCAGAGCCUGCAGGCGAAACUGCCGUGCUUGAGUGUGGGAGAGGAGAGUGGAAUUCCCGGUGUAGCGGUGAAAUGCGCAGAUAUCGGGAAGAACACCCGUGGCUAAGGCGGCUCUCUAGUACGGUACUGACGCUGAGACGCGAAAGCGUCGGGGAGCGAACAGG
rnacentral:rRNA from 1 species